rnacentral:rRNA from 1 species
GACGAACGCUGGCGGCGUGCCUAAUACAUGCAAGUCGAACGCACUCUCGUUUAGAUUGAAGGAGUUUGCUCCUGAUUGAUAAACAUUUGAGUGAGUGGCGGACGGGUGAGUAACACGUGGGUAACCUGCCCUAAAGUGGGGGAUAACAUUUGGAAACAGAUGCUAAUACCGCAUAAAACCUAACACCGCAUGGUGUAGGGUUGAAAGAUGGUUUCGGCUAUCACUUUAGGAUGGACCCGCGGUGCAUUAGUUAGUUGGUGAGGUAAAGGCUCACCAAGACCGUGAUGCAUAGCCGACCUGAGAGGGUAAUCGGCCACACUGGGACUGAGACACGGCCCAGACUCCUACGGGAGGCAGCUGUAGGGAAUCUUCCACAAUGGACGAAAGUCUGAUGGAGCAACGCCGCGUGAGUGAAGAAGGUUUUCGGAUCGUAAAACUCUGUUGUUGGAGAAGAAUGUAUCUGAUAGUAACUGAUCAGGUAGUGACGGUAUCCAACCAGAAAGCCACGGCUAACUACGUG